rnacentral:rRNA from 1 species
CCUACGGGAGGCAGCAGUGGGGAAUAUUGGACAAUGGGCGAAAGCCUGAUCCAGCCAUGCCGCGUGUGUGAAGAAGGCCUUUUGGUUGUAAAGCACUUUAAGCGAGGAGGAGGCUACUUGGAUUAAUACUCUAGGAUAGUGGACGUUACUCGCAGAAUAAGCACCGGUUAACUCUGUGCCAGCAGCCGCGGUAAU